UACGAAGGGGGCUAGCGUUGUUCGGAAUUACUGGGCGUAAAGCGCGCGCAGGCGGCUAUCCAAGUCAGUGGUGAAAGCCCGGAGCUCAACUCCGGAACUGCCAUUGAAACUGUUUAGCUUGAGGACGAGAGAGGUGAGUGGAACUGCGAGUGUAGAGGUGAAAUUCGUAGAUAUUCGCAAGAACACUAGUGGCGAAGGCGGCUCACUGGCCCGGUACUGACGCUGAGGUGCGAAAGCGUGGGGAGCAAACAGG
rnacentral:rRNA from 1 species